UACAGAGGGUGCAAACGUUGCUCGGAAUUACUGGGCGUAAAGCGCGUGUAGGUGGUUUUGUAAGUCGGGUGUGAAAGCCCAGGGCUCAACCCUGGAAGUGCAUUCGAUACUGCGAAGCUUGAGUACUGAAGAGGAGAGCGGAAUUCCCGGUGUAGAGGUGAAAUUCGUAGAUAUCGGGAGGAACACCAGUGGCGAAGGCGGCUCUCUGGGCAGAUACUGACACUGAGACGCGAAAGCGUGGGUAGCAAACAGG
rnacentral:rRNA from 1 species